UUAGAUACCCUGCUAUACUUGGAUUAGAAGUUUUAGACCAGGGUAGUAAAUAGCUAUUCUCUCGAAACCCAAAGAGUUUGGCGGUAUCUCAGCCUAGUUAGAGGAGCUUGUUCAGUAAACGAUAUUCCCCGAAGAAUCUUACGUGCUUUAGUAGUCAGUUUAUAUACCGUCGUUAUUAGAUAAUGUUUGAAAAUAAAAAAUUAUCGUAGUACAAUAAAAUGUAGUAUAUCAGAUCAAGGUGUAACUUAUGAGUGCGAGUAGAAUGAGCUACAAUUUAAAUUUAUGAAAAAUGGAUAUUAAUUUUAAAUAAUUAGUGGAAGGUGGAUUUAAUAGUAAUUUGUGUUUAAUAAGAAUAGAUGAUAUUAGCUCUGAGAUAUGUACACAUCGCCCGUCG
rnacentral:rRNA from 1 species